GAUGCACAUAAACUUAACAGCCCACAAAGAAGCAGAAGGAGUGCGUAUAAGUGUAUGUACUGCAUGUGAAGGGCAGUUUGUAAAGUGCAGAGGAUGUUUAUAGCACAAUGGGUUAAGAUCACCAGCAGCUGGAGGAUCGUCCACUCUGAGGCGAGACUUUUGAGAAGCCAUUUUAAGGCCUCCUGUCAUUGGCGUGACCCUGCCGGUGCCUCUCUGCCUCCACAGCCCUCCUGCUUUAGCGUCAGCUCCCCCAUUGUCCUGGACGGAGGAGGACUCGGCCGCUCCUAAGUGAUGGCGCAAGAGUCACCUCGUUGGAACUGAUGCCCCCGAUCAGCGAUGGGCUGGAAAAGCAUAAAGAAAGAACGGGAAGGGACAGAAGAUCUCCAUCACUACCUCCACGCUGGUCCCUCUCCUGUCUGAGCGAAAGGGCAAGUCCCUGCAGCCGCGUGCCAGCCGAUCCUCAGCCUCGAUCCAGAGGAAUGCUAAUAGUUUGUAACCGGACCCGGAGCCUCUCCAGUGCUACCCAAACAGGGCCAACGGGCCCGAAACAGACACCGCGAAUGUUUCCAUUGCUCAUAUUGAGCUAUCAGUAUCUUUAUAGUUAGAAAUCCUCCAUAUUUUACCAGCCCCUCUCCAGUUGCCACCAUAACUCUUGCUUUGCCGGGUCUCAAGCAACAUAUCCGUCUUAUUUUGGAGCACAUAUCUACAUAGUGUCACAGUCUGAAAGAAGAUACAUGGAGGCGGCUGAAGUGAUGCCACUGGAGGAGGUUAUAGCACGGCUCCAACAUCAAUCAUGAUGUACAGCACUUUCCAUUUUUGACACACAUUUCAGCAACUUUGGGAACUUGCUGCUAUCAUCAGAUGAGUAACCUCUUUAGCACAAGUUAGUGAACUAGAUCAACAUGCAGGGUAGUUUUAAAUACUAAAACAAAAUAAUAUUUAUUGUUGGUCUUUGGCAAAGGUAUUUGUAUAGUUUCUAUCAAGGCUAAUAUUUUAAAUAUGCCUUCUUAUUAAAUAUUAUAUGAAAGCACUUUUGAUCUGCAAAUUUGAAGUAAAUACACGUCGAAUUUAAUGAUAUGAUACUGGAAGUGAAUGCAAGAGAAGAACACAAGUAAAAUAAAAAUGAAUAGAAAUUAAAGUAGAAAAUAGAA
rnacentral:lncRNA from 1 species